UAACCACGGAAACAACAGCUAGCAUAACAUUAGCUUGUGAGGCCAGCAUAGCAUGUCUUUGUCUGUGUUCAUCGAUGAACUGGGUUUGUCUGUCAGACACACGGUUUCGCAACACUAACUACCUGGCAGACCGGAGCUUGGACAAUUAGCUGGGGCUUUAAGGAAGUGGGAAGGCGUCUUUUCCUCUACUUCGGCUCAGCAACUGCACUGGAUUGGCUUCGCUGUGGGGACAUGAACCUGUCAGGGAACUCAGCGAGGUUAACAGCAACCCAUUUAAUCCACUUGUCCAGCAGAGGGAGCAUUUGUACUACACUUGUUUUUUGCACCGAACGGGUGUUCACACACUGGACAAAGGGAUAAAGGUGACUGUGCCCCAGUGCACAAAGCAAGGUGCAUAAAGGAUGGGUUUAAUGUGGUGGAAGUUGACUGGGCCGCACAGAAUCUCAGCUUCAACACCAUCAAACACCUUUGGGAUGACCUGGAACGGCUCCUGGGAGCCAGCCUCAGAGUUUCAUCUCACAAAUGUUUUUUCUGGAUAAAUGGGCAAAAAUUCCCACAGACACAUUCCAAAAUCCUGUAGAAAGCCUUCCAAGAAAAGGGAAAGCUGUUAUACAUGUGACUGGCUAACUCCAUAUUAAUGCAUUCAUGCACUUACAAUGGGAUGUGAUGAAAUCUAAACACAAAAGUGUAAUGUGUACCAAUUCGAACCAAUAUGUUUGCUUGUUUGUUUGUUUGUAUUUGGCUUCGAGAGAUGUUUUACUGUGGGUAGAACCACAACCUCUGGUGCUGUACUUCAGUUUAUAAUCUCCACAUGAUCAAACAUUUGAUUCUGUUCAGACCUCUGGCAUCAAGAAGGAAUUUUAACCUAGAGAA